rnacentral:rRNA from 1 species
UAUGUGAUCGUCUCUCGCAUAUCAAUAAGCGGAGGAAAAGAAACUAACAAGGAUUCCCCUAGUAACGGCGAGUGAAGCGGGAAGAGCUCAAAUUUGAAAUCUUAAAGGGUUUCCCUUUACGAACUGUAGUUUAAAGAAGUGUUUUCUGUGAGGGUUUUGGUAAAAGUUCUUUGGAAUAGGACAUCAUAGAGGGUGAGAAUCCCGUAUUUGACCUUUACUUUCAACUUUGUGAUACACUUUCAAAGAGUCGGAUUGUUUGGGAAUGCAGUCCAAAAUGGGUGGUAAAUUUCAUCUAAAGCUAAAUAUUGGCGAGAGACCGAUAGCGAACAAGUACCGUGAGGGAAAGAUGAAAAGAACUUUGAAAAGAGAGUUAAACAGUACGUGAAAUUGUCAAAAGGGAAGCGUUUGACACCAGUGUUGUUUUUCUGAAAAUCAAUUAAAGAACUGUUUAUGCUAAGCUGUUUAGACAUUUAUCAGCUAUCUGUUUAGUUUUGAGCUUUUCUUUAAUGCACUUUUCAGUUAACAAGUCAACAUCAAUUUCUUUUGCUGUAAAAAAGCUUGAGGAAGGUGGCUUGAGAUUCGUCUUAAGUGUUUAUAGCCUCUUGUCUAUGCAGUCGGAGAGAUUGAGGUCUGCAGCGUAGAUCCUUCGGGGCUAAAUGCAUUUGUGCUAAGUUAUAGCAUUUUAUAGACAACUUGUUGACUAUGAUUUGUCUUGUAGCUUACUCGCUUAUGUUAUUUUACCUACGCUUAGGAUGUUGAAGACUCUACAGAGAUA